rnacentral:rRNA from 1 species
CCUACGGGAGGCUGCAGUGGGGAAUAUUGCACAAUGGGGGAAACCCUGAUGCAGCGACGCCGCGUGAGCGAUGAAGUAUUUCGGUAUGUAAAGCCCUAUCAGCAGGGAAGAAAAUGACGGUACCUGACUAAGAAGCCCCGGCUAACUACGUGCCAGCAGCCGCGGGAAUACGUAGGGGGCAAGCGUUAUCCGGAUUUACUGGGUGUAAAGGGAGCGUAGACGGUCCUGCAAGCCAGGUGUGAAAGCCCGGGGCGCAACCCCGGGACUGCAUUUGGAACUGUAAGGCUAGAGUGUGGGAGAGGCAGGCGGAAUGCCUGGUGUAGCGGUGAAAUGCGUAGAUAUUAGGAGGAACACUAGUGGCGAAGGCGGCGUGCUGGACGAUGACUGACGUUGAGGCUCGAAAGCGUGGGGAGCGAACAGGAUUAGAUACCCGUGUAGUC